rnacentral:rRNA from 1 species
UGGGGAAUUUUGGACAAUGGGCGAAAGCCUGAUCCAGCAAUGCCGCGUGUGUGAAGAAGGCCUUCGGGUUGUAAAGCACUUUUGUCCGGAAAGAAAUCCUCUGGGUUAAUACCUCGGGGGGAUGACGGUACCGGAAGAAUAAGCACCGGCUAACUACGUGCCAGCAGCCGCGGUAAUACGUAGGGUGCAAGCGUUAAUCGGAAUUACUGGGCGUAAAGCGUGCGCAGGCGGUUUUGUAAGACGGAUGUGAAAUCCCCGGGCUUAACCUGGGAACUGCAUUCGGGACUGCAAGGCGAGAGUAUGGCAGAGNGGGGUAGAAUUCCACGUGUAGCAGUGAAAUGCGUAGAGAUGUGGAGGAAUAACGAUGGCGAAGGCAGCCCCCUGGGCCAAUACUGACGCUCAUGCACGGAAGCGUGGGGAG